rnacentral:rRNA from 1 species
CAGUCGCCACGGGAAUACGAAGGGGGCUAGCGUUGUUCGGAUUUACUGGGCGUAAAGCGCACGUAGGCGGAUCGAUCAGUCAGGGGUGAAAUCCUGGAGCUCAACUCCAGAACUGCCUUUGAUACUGUCGAUCUCGAGUCCGGAAGAGGUGAGUGGAACUCCUAGUGUAGAGGUGGAAUCCGUAGAUAUUAGGAAGAACACCAGUGGCGAAGGCGGCUCACUGGUCCGGUACUGACGCUGAGGUGCGAAAGCGUGGGGAGCAAACAGGAUUAGAUACCCCUGUAGUCCCUGUCUCUUAUAC